rnacentral:lncRNA from 1 species
GAAGGAUGGUCCAAAAGUAGCUGAGGCAAAGAAAAAAUAUUUUCAUUAUCAUAUUAAAGGCCACUGGAGGAGAAACUGUUUGAAAUACUUGGAGAGCCUAAAGACCAAAAAGGGUGACAAACCUUUUGAAGGUAUGCUCAUAAUUGAAUCUAACCUUACAAUUUCUUCUACUUCUAGUUAGAUAUUGGAUUCUGAUUCGAGUGCUCAUAUAUGUACCUCAAUAUAGGGUC